rnacentral:rRNA from 1 species
UACGUAGGGUGCAAGCGUUUGUCCGGAAUUAUUGGGCGUAAAGAGCUCGUAGGCGGUUUGUUGCGUCGGCUGUGAAAACCCGGGGCUCAACUCCGGGCCUGCAGCCGAUACGGGCAGACUAGAGUUCGGCAGGGGAGACGUGGAAUUCCUGGUGUAGCGGUGAAAUGCGCAGAUAUCAGGAGGAACACCGGUGGCGAAGGCGGGUCUCUGGGCCGAUACUGACGCUGAGGAGCGAAAGCGUGGGGAGCGAACAGG